GGCAUGUGGAAGUUCCCAGUCUAGCGGUCAAAUUGGAGCUGCAGCUGCUGGCCUAUGCCACAGCCACAGCAACAUGGGAUCUGAAUGACAUUUGCAGUCUAUACCACAGCUCAUGCCAAUGCCAGAUCCCCAACCCACUGAGCGAGACCAGAAAUCAAACCCGCAUCCUCAUGGAUUUUAGUCAGAUUCAUUUAUAUUUCACCACAAUGGGAACUCCUUAGAGGGAUCUUUUAAAAACAUAAACCAGAUCAUGUCAAUUUUCCUUUUAAACUAUCCAGUGGUACCCUAUCUCACUUAGAGUAAAAAUCAUAGUCCUCCCAAAGGCCUUCAGAGCCCUACUGAAUCUGCAGCCCAUCCACCCUUGGUCCUACUCUUACCUCUUAGAUCCCUUCUCAUGUGAUCAGCCCCUAGCCAUUCUCAUUUACUCCUAGUCACACUAUCUCCAUAUUACCUCUGAAAAUUUCUAGACUUUCUCCCACUUUAGGAACUCUAUUUAAGGACUGUUAAAAAAUUCAAAAGUUACUCAACACCAUCUAGUAUUUGAGAAAUACCAGAGAACUCUUAAAUAUGUGAUGGAUAUAUGAAUAAAUAAAUAAAUGAAUAAAUUUGAUGUUAGAUAAAUUUUGCACUGGUUUUGAAUCAUUCUAACCCGAUAUCUUUACUCAGUAUUUUAAAUAAUGGCAUAAGCUUUAAUAUAGAGUUCAUCUAUGUUGAGGGAUUUUAAGAGUUUUUAAUUAUUAAUAAUCACAUUGAUUGUACUUCAAUAAAUGUAUUCAAAAUAUGGGUGGAAUUAAUUUUAAUUAAAAUAAACAUUAUAUUCUUUCAUACACAGUUUCUGUCCCUUACAUACAGAAUUAUCCCACACCUUGAUCAAAACUCCAAUAGCCUUUAGGGUAAACCCCAACCAAAUUUGACAACAUUCAAGUAUUACUGUUUUAACAAUUAUUCAAGUACCAACACUAGCUAUUUUUACUUAUUUUUACUUAUUUUCUAAUUUGAUUCUCAUAUGAACUUUCAUUACUUAAAAAAAAGAAAAAAAUUACCCUAUGAUUAAGCUGCAGAAAUUAUUUUUCUGUAUAUACUUUAAUUAUUCUGUUUUUUCUUGCCUAAAUUAUUCUUUUCAUUCCUUGCCUUCUUCUUUCAGUGCAACCCAAUCUUGAAAUCCCCAAAUCCUCUUCCCCACACAUUUGAAAUUGACCUCUAAUAACUUUGCAGUCGAUUUCUCUACUGGCAGAGGUACUUAGUAUAUUUGGCUAUGUAGAUAAUUUAUAUUUUAUAAAUAGCAUUUUCUUUCCAAACAGAUAAAGCAUCUUAAAGGUAAGUAGCAAGUUGGAUUUACAAUUUCCGAAUCCACAACAGUUAUACAUAUCUUCAAAAGAAUUCCAAGGACUUCUUAAGAAUUCCUGAAAUCUUGAAUUUUUCUGCACUUUGUAGUACAGCUGAUCUUUAAACAACAUGGGAUGAACUACAUGGGUCAUUUAUAUGUACAUUUAUUUUUAAUAAUAAAUACUACACUGCCACAAGAUUCAUAUAGUGUUUUUUUGCUAUUUUAGUAGUAUUUUAAUUAUAAUUACUAGAACUUGUCAUCUAAGAAAAAAUCCAAAUAAUGGAAAACAUCACUGUACAAUAAUGGGAAGUUUUUGAAUAACUUAGCAUUCAUCUUUUAGUAAAGUAACAGGAAGAUAUAGAAUCUUGUGUCACAAUAGCCAAGUUGAGUAUUUAUUUAGCAUCCUAAACUUAUUUUUUAUUUCUUGGAACACUGUUACUAAGAUUUGUGUCAAGUACCAUAUCUAUCUAUUGGUCGACUGAUCUAUCAUCUAUUAUCUAUUUAACUUGCAAGAAUAACUCACCACUAGCAAUAGAAAAGAUCACAAACACAUCUUGACAUGUUAAUAGCUACGUGUAAUACUGCCUGAUUAUAUGGCGACCAAUACUUUCUUGCAUGCUCUUGUUCCAGUUCUCAAAGGUGUUGACCUUAAUCUCAGUGUGUACCAACGUUUUUUAGUCUUACUACUGACUGGUUAUUAACAGGUGCCUUUAAAUCAGCAGUUCUUACAGUUAUACUUUAAUUUUCACGGGAGAAUUAUAAAUACAUACAUAUAAAUAUAUAUAUAUUUUAUUUUCUCAUUUUAACAAUUCCUUUUUAUCACAUUUUGGCAUUUAGAAGAAUGUAUACAUUUUUCAGAAAAAUCCAGGGAUAUGUUUCUGCUUGAAUACUUCUCGUUGAUUACCUUACUCAGUCACUUAUAACUAUUACAUAAGUAUCUAAUACAUGUAAUUAAAUGUGUGAGAUAUUGAUGAUGAAACAGUGAACCAGAUGGACCUUGUGUAGUCCCUGGUGGUGCUUACAUUCUAGCUGGAAAGACUAGCAGUUAAUCAAGAAGGUUUAAUGAAGUAUGAUAGGAAUAUAACUGGGGAGGUGUUGGAUAUUUUAGGAACAUAUAUGAGGAGUUUGGUAUGUCUUCAUAGUAAAUAGAAUACAAGCAAUUAGCAUUUAGAUAGGAUGAGGCUGGUGAUAAUAAUGAGCAUUUAUAUGGUUAAGAAUAGAAAACUUGAAUUAAGAGCAAGUGCCUAAAGGGACACCCUCUGUGUUAUUAUACCAUUGAAUAUUUCUCAGUGUGCCUUUUACCUUUCUAGAAUGAGAAUCAAAUAAAGCCAUUUCAUUAUCUUACUUCAAAAUGAUACUACUCACAAAUGAUUUAUUUACAGUUUAUCACUAGAUAACCAUCCAGUAAUAGAACUGAGUGAAUUGCCCAUAAAUAGAGCAUAGCAAUAAUGUUCAGGACAAUCAGAAUCAAUAUUUAAAAAAAAAAAAACUGAAAGUUACCCUAAUCUAGAGAGUAAUACAACAUCUUUCAGAGUGAACAAAGUAUACCCAUCAUCUUGUAAUAACCUAUAGUGGAAUAUAAUACACACAAAUACUGAAUCACUGUGUUGUACAGCUGAAACUAAUACACUAUUAUAAAUCAACUAUAUUUCAAUAUUAAAAGAGUAAAAGCAACAUUUAUUUUAUCAAUAUGAAUGAUUUACAGUUUAGUAAAAUUUAUAUUUAACUUUUACUGAUUAUUACAUCCAAAAAAUUAAAAAGUUGCAUUUUCAACUGAAGAAUUUUGCACAAAUUGAUCACCUCCAUGAAAUUAACAUUCAUGUGAAGAAAUACAAUACUCUGGUAACUAAAAAAACCCUUGUAUUACCGUCUGGUCAUUAUCUUUCGCCUGAAGAAACCCAUAUCGUUAUUUCUAUUAGCAGAAAUUGAUUUUGCCCAUUUUCAUACCUAAAAAAAAAGCAGAAUCCCUUAGCAUAGACAUUUGUGUCUUGCUUCUUUGGCUUAAAAAUCAUUUGUUGGGAGUUCCCAUUGUGGCGCAGUGGUUAAUGAAUCCGACUAGGAACCAUGAGGUUGCGGGUUCGGUCCCUGCCCUUGCUCAGUGGGUUAACGAUCGGGCAUUGCCGUGAGUUGUGGUGUAGGUCGCAGACACGGCUCGGAUCCUGCAUUGCUGUGGCUCUGGCAUAGGCCGGUGGCUACAGCUCCGAAUGGACCCCUAGCCUGGGAACCUCCAUAUGCCGUGGGAGCGGCCCAAGAAAUAGCAAAAAAAAAAGACAAAAAAAAAAAUCAUUUUUUUGGUCUUCUUCAUCUAUAUUGCUGCUAUAUCAAUAGUUGUUUCAUCCUCAUGUUGUUUUAGUGUUCAUACGAACUACAACAUAAUCUGUUUAUCUAUGGUGCUGUUGUACUGUUGAUGAACAUCUGGAUUCUUUCCAGUUCUGAUUAUACUAAAUAUUUUUCUGUGACUAUUCUAGGGCA
rnacentral:lncRNA from 1 species